CAAGGUUGUAAUGAGGUCAAAAGCAAAGUCAUCCUGGCUGAACCAAUUGAAAAUCAACGAGCAGAUUAUUGGUAAUACUGCUUUGACUUUACGAGUUUAACAGCUGUGCUGAGGCAAUGACUGCUGUGAAGAGCAGUUGGUUUUUCAACUUGAUGACACAGUUUGAGCCGGAUCCUGCGACACAGCCAUGCCUCAGCAGUGUGAACAGCAGCGGACUGGGUACACAGCCCCGGGCAGUGCCAGUGCUCAGCGGGACGAGAGACGUUGCUGCCCACAAGGACUGACUGUGGCCUUACUGUUAACAAGUAUGAGAUCCAGAUACAGAGGGAGAUGUUGAGACCCAGCAAGGACAGUUUCCCCACCGGUUUCUGGGUUAUUCUCUGGAAUGAAGAGUACAGCAGAAAUGAAAAAAAAAUACUGAAGGUAUAUGACAAGGAAUUUGGUCUCAUCAUUUCCUCGUUUUCAAGGACAAGACUGAAGUUAAUACAAUU